GACAUCCGGGAAAUUCCUUGUACUUAAAGCUAGCUGACAAUUUUUCCAGUUGUCCAGUGAGUAGUGUACAGUCGGGAGGUUUCUUGUAAGAUUAAGCAUAUUAAGUAAUGCUAAAGAGUCAAUUUUGAGAAACUUACGUAAGGAGACGAAAUUUCCAGAAGAAUUGCAUAAAAAUCAAGCAGCGCAGACAAGGACAGGGAGACCGUGAGAGAGAGAAAGACCACGUAGAGACACAAACCGCAGGGGAGAUUUUGGAAGGGAACUGGAAAGUCUUUGACUUGUUGACUUCUGCACCAUCUCAACCUGUACCGGUGGCGAGUUGUCUGUGGUGAGACACUUAAUUCUUGUAAGCAAAGUUCGUCCUGACCAAGUGAAUUGCAGAGCUGAAUUUGGUUCUGGAAGAGACUCGGAGAGUUUGUGAACUGAAUCCAGUUCCAGUUUAUGGGAUCAAGUUAAAUACGACGGUCGUCACACCCUCGCCGUUUCGUCUUGAGCCCGGUCAUUCUUAUCGGACGCGGUCUUCAUUCCCUGUUGCAGCUCAUUUUUGCACCGUCUAGGAGUUGGACUGAACUGUUUUUCGCCAUCUGUAGAGUCCAGCAUUCUUCACUGUAGCGCAUCUAGCCAAGCUCUCGCCUGAGCGUGGUGGAUCCAGCUCAUUCAAUCAUGGCUCCUUGACACUCAAGUACAAACUAGACAACCAGUUUGAACUCAUUUUUGCUAUAUGUUUCUGGUUAGUGGAGAAUGGCUUCGCUGUGCUGAUUGUGGCCUGUGAUACAUUUCAAGCUGGUGCCGUCGAACAACUGCACACCCACACUAGACACCUGAAUGCGCUGCAUCCAGCAGAGAAACAUGGAGGGCGCUCUCUGGUCCAGCUGUAUGAGAAAGGUUAUGGAAAGGAUGCAGCUGGUAUUGCCAUGGAAGCCAUUAAGUAUGCUCGGGAUUGUCACUUUGACAUUGUGUUGAUUAAAACAGCUGGGUGGAUGCAAGACAAUGAGCCACUCAUGAGAGCUCUAUCCAAGCUCAUCAAGAUCAACCAGCCAGAUCUCGUUCUGUUUGUGGGAGAGGCCUUGGUUGUAACGAAGUAGUGGACCAAUUGACUAAGUUCAGCCUCGCAGCUGACGACUCAGACAUGAACCAGCCCCAACCGAUUGAUGGCAUUGUGAUCACCAAAUUUGACACCAUCAACAAUAAGGUUGGUGCCGCUAUCUCAAUGACCUACACCACUGGUCAGCCCACGGUAUUUGUUGGUACCGGUCAGACAUAAGCUGAACGUCAAGGCUGUGGUCAAGGCUCUACUGAAAAACUAAGAUGUGCGGAGCGACGGUGAUUCAACAUUGUUACAAUAGCAAUGAAAUGGAAUUGUGAUCAUCCAUUACAACAAGAAUGUAAUAUGUUAAUUUUGAUUUGUCAGGAGAAUGACAGGCAACUUACUAAUGAUUUGUCACAGAACUAUGUUUCAUUUAAAAAUUUGUUGAAUCUUGACCUAAAACUGCCAAACGUUUUGGACAUUUCAAACAAUAACAAUUAACAAUUUUGCUUUCUGCAGUGGAAAAGGCCAUCGUUUUUGUAAUUUCAAAACCUGACCCACUUUGUUCAGUCUGUCUGCAUUUUUUUGCUUGGAAUUUCAACAAAUAAAAAAUAAAAUGCUUGGAAGAUUUGAGCUAUCAAGAGUGGACUUCAGACACUAUCGUUUGCCAAUUUCUCUCUGAAAUUAAAGCCAAAACACAGGCAUAGUCAGUAUUCAGAUUGAAGACACAAAGACAAAAGAGUUUGUUUAAUACCAACUCAAGGAAUACUGUUUGAUCAUGAUGGCUCUUGAGUAUAGGAUGCUGAGAUCUGUUCAGAGAAAAGUGGGAAAUUUCAGUGUUACAUUUAAAACAUUCACUUAUAUUACAAAUCACUAAUUUAUCAGAAGAAAUAUAAAUCUGUGUUUUAAAAAAAAAAUUAGACUUGAUCGUUGCAUUCUGAAUUCUCUCUGGAUGUUCAGUUUAUUCUUUCCGUCAUGCAAUUUUGGAAAAUCCUCAACUUGAUGAGCGUCGACAAAGGUGAUAUUGUUACGUUUAAGUUGUUAUCUUGCUGGUAAUUUCUUUUCUCUGUCCUCCUAAUGUUUGUGAGUUUGAUGUAACUUUCUUCAAACUCAUAUUUGUUCUUUCCUUUGUGAGUCAUUGAAGGGUGAGGGUUGUGCAGAAGGAAGCCAAAGGCAUUGUUAAAUGGUUGACAUGUAAAAAACUGAGGUUUGGUUUGCCCUGGAGCAUUGGAGGGUGCUAUGACGAGGGUAUUGAAAAUGUGGUGGAGAUAAUAUGAUGUUGUUGAUAUCAAGUGUUUCUCAUAUCUAAACAUUUAAUAUGUCAUGACCAGAAUAGAGAUUGAUUUGACUCGAUCAGUAUUAAUUGACUUCUGAAUAAUGCUAAGAUAGUUUAAGUUGAAUUGCAAAUUUUUUUUAUUUUUCAGGUCGAGUCUGAGCGGCCUGUUCUUGACGCGUGUUUCUUUUCUCGCGUUCAAAUGGCGGGAACACGACUUAAGAACACUGUUUCCAGAACAGGAUCAUGCACCACCUCCUCGUCAGGGUUUUGCAGGAACACACAGGAAAACUCGUGAGAUUUUGAUUUUUGAACAGCCGUGAAAAAUAUCGAGAUGGCUCACAAAACCAGAGACAAUGGGAAAUUUUACAAAAUUAACAAUAAUCAUUUUCCAUAGCAAAGAAAUGAAUGUUCCUUUUUAAAUAGAAAAGAAUUCAGCCCACUGGCAGCUUUCCAAAGGCUGAGUUCGGGCAGCUUGUUCUCACAUGUUCGGAAACAGCUCGAUUUGAUGUUUGUGGGUCGGCGGUUCGAAUGCUUGGAACGUACAACCGGUUAUCGCUACUAGUAACUUGCAUGCAACAUGGCGGCGUCCUUGUAGAUUCUUCGAGAGCUAAUGUUUAAGCUAACUUCUGUUCCAUUCAAAAAAUCAUAUCUGUCGUUGAAAAUUAUUGAUGUUUAUUGUGCAAAACUUUCCAUUGUCUCCAG